UGGCCCAUGUCUUUGGAGGAUAGG
rnacentral:siRNA from 1 species